rnacentral:lncRNA from 1 species
GAAAAGCACUUUUUUUUUUCCUUUGGUUGCUGCUUGUUUUGCAGUUACAGUAUGUUUCAGGUAUUUUACUCUCUUAGGAAUCAAAGUUCUUAGCGCAACUCUUGUUGAAUAUUGCAAUUAGUUUAUAAUAUCAAGUGGUUAAUGGGAGAGCCUGUAUCUUAAAGAAUACAGUUUAUUGUCAAUGUCUUCUUAUGACCCCUUUUUUUUUUUGUCCAGUUCCUAUGACAUGUUUACUGUCAAUGUCUCCCUUGCUACAGCAGAGAUCAUAAGAGUUGUUUUGACGGUGAUUUGUUUCAGGUCAGAAGAGCUAGAAAUGAGGCAAACCCAGAAAGACUUUGGUCAAGGACAAAACUCUGGCUUAAAGGAGAAGAUAAGAUAAAAAGAAGGCAGAGAUUGCGUACAAAUCUUAGAGCAGCUCAGGAGUCAACAACGUUGGAAAUCGGAGGCACCAACAUGGUGCUUUGAUGCAGUUCCAAGUCAUUACCUAAUUCUCCUCGAUGCAUUCUGCAUUUGUCCUCGAGCUGAAUCAGGUGUCUCCAUUUCACAGAAUGGAUGUUCUUGGAUUGCAUCAAUCAUCAAUCUAGCUUACUGUGGACAAGGAAGAGCAAAGGUUUUAUGCCCAAUGACUUGUCAGGUGCCUCUGUUCCAAAACUCUGUGUGACAAACUUGCUUAGCUUCCAACUGGUGUUCCCUAACUAGAAUUUCUUUAGCACUUCAACCUUGACCCAUCCUGCUCUGGCACAGAUACAGGCUAUGAACUACUGAUUGAGUUGUAUGCCAUCAAGGGAAUCUUAGUAGUUACCAAACCAAGAAUGCAUCUGACGGACCAAUGUUAAUCGAAAGGAACUACCAGCUUCAGUACUGAGAUCUGAGGCCAGUGUCAAAGUCGUUCUUCAAGAUGGUGAUCUAUUCAUCACAGCGAUACCACUGCAUGGUGCCUGUACCACAAGAUGAAUAAGAGAAUGAAUGGAUGUUGCAAGCA